CCCAGGGGGAGCCAACCAGGGCCAGUAGAGAAUCAAGGGCGUGCGGCUCGCUCCAGUCGACGCUUUCGGAGUCUGGACCCCAGGAGGCCAUCCAGGAAGCUCCCGCCGAGGGUCUCCGAACCAGCCUGGACCUGUGUGGUCGGUCGACCUCGGUGCCUUCCCACGGGAGGCGCUUCCGCCUGGUGCGCCAGUAACAAGGGAACAACUGACGUGAGAAAGUCCUGAAACAGCCCUGCCACCACGCCCCACGCAGUUUCAUGGAGAUCCACACCUGGAGUGUUUGCUGAGAGGCCCGACUGUCCAGUCCAAGCCCAAGGGCUGUUUGCCUGUGAAGAGCCAAGGAUCCAAGAGUGUAAGUAACUCUCUUAAAGGCAUAUAUAGGAAAUAGUAGAAUUGGGGAGCAGAGUGGACCCUUCAACCCCAGCCCCCAAACACUUGCAUGUUUGGCAGCAUUUACCCUGCAGCGGUG
rnacentral:lncRNA from 1 species